UACAGAGGGUGCGAGCGUUGUCCGGAAUCACUGGGCGUAAAGGGCGCGUAGGUGGUGACCUAAGCGUGCGGUGAAAGCCCGAGGCUCAACCUCGGGUCGGCCGUGCGAACUGGGUCACUGGAGCAGAAUAGAGGCAGGUGGAAUUCCGGGUGUAGCGGUGGAAUGCGUAGAGAUCCGGAAGAACACCGGUGGCGAAGGCGGCCUGCUGGGCAGUUGCUGACACUGAGGCGCGACAGCGUGGGGAGCAAACAGG
rnacentral:rRNA from 1 species